GAGUUUGAUCGUGGCUCAGAUUGAACGCUGGCGGCAUGCCUUACACAUGCAAGUCGAACGGCAGCAUGAUCUAGCUUGCUAGAUUGAUGGCGAGUGGCGAACGGGUGAGUAACACAUCGGAACGUGCCCUGUAGUGGGGGAUAACUAGUCGAAAGAUUAGCUAAUACCGCAUACGACCUGAGGGUGAAAGUGGGGGACCGCAAGGCCUCAUGCUAUAGGAGCGGCCGAUGUCUGAUUAGCUAGUUGGUGGGGUAAAGGCCCACCAAGGCGACGAUCAGUAGCUGGUCUGAGAGGACGAUCAGCCACACUGGGACUGAGACACGGCCCAGACUCCUACGGGAGGCAGCAGUGGGGAAUUUUGGACAAUGGGCGAAAGCCUGAUCCAGCAAUGCCGCGUGUGUGAAGAAGGCCUCGGUUGUAAG
rnacentral:rRNA from 1 species